AGAACGAACGCUGGCGGCAUGCCUAAUACAUGCAAGUCGAACGAACACUUCGGUGUUAGUGGCGCACGGGUGCGUAACGCGUGGGAAUCUGCCCUUGGGUUCGGAAUAACAGUUGGAAACGACUGCUAAUACCGGAUGAUAUCGAAAGAUCAAAGAUUUAUCGCCCAGGGAUGAGCCCGCGUAGGAUUAGCUAGUUGGUGAGGUAAAGGCUCACCAAGGCGACGAUCCGUAACUGGUCUGAGAGGAUGAUCAGUCACACCGGAACUGAGACACGGUCCGGACUCCUACGGGAGCAGCAGUGGGGAAUAUUGGACAAUGGGCGCAAGCCUGAUCCAGCAAUGCCGCGUGUGUGAAGAAGGCC
rnacentral:rRNA from 1 species